GAUUGCGGUGAGGACAUCCCGUGGCAUCCCUCGAAGCACCAACACGACGCCACCUGGUCUACCAUCUCCAUAUGGGCGAGUUCUCUUGAUCCCCAGCGUACUCUCUCACCUCCUCCAAAUUCCUCGACCCCUAACUUCUCGAUCCCUACCAGGCUACCACGAUCUGAUCCGAAGGCCGAUGCAGCUCCGGGCUAUUGAUAAUGGAGGUUGAGGAUCCUUCCUCUCAGCACCCACUCAUGGCAGAAUCAGCAGCGUGCCACGCGGAUGGAACCCGGCCGAGAUCAUGGGAUGCUUCCACACAGGGCUCGCCAAGAUUGCAAUUCUGAACUUUUUUGUAAACAAAGUGAAGAGUGGGACAUGAUCUGUACUUGUGCUAAUAUAAAAUAUACAGUACUUGUGUAGGUGCAGGUUUUGUUUUAACAUUCCAAUUGUUGUUUAUCCUUUUGUCGCUGAAAAUUCUUUACUAAUUAUGACAUUCAUUUUAUUUCUUCUAGAUGUAUCUCGAUCCACUAUGUCUGAUCACAAGGUGACAAUGGCGGCAUAGCAGCCCGGAGGAGACGGCGGCGAGCCCCCCUCCUCCAACUGUAGCAAUUCACCAG
rnacentral:lncRNA from 1 species